GCAAAACAGGGAAAAAGAAAGUGUUGCAAAGAGAGUUCCUGUCAUGUAGCCCCAUAUUUACCCCAUUGUGAUGUCACCAAUCUGUCCCUCCCCAGAAUGUUUCUGAUUGGAAAAUCAUCACUGAGAAAGUGGAGCUAGAGACCUGAACUCCUCCUUUGUUACUUUAUUACAGGAAGAGGUUAGUCUUAAGGACACCAAGAAGCCCUUUCCUCCUCACCAUAAAGCUGGGUAACUAUGGUCCAAAAUGGUGGCUAGAGUGUGCUGACUUCAUUACACACUUGUCUACAACUAAACAAGGAGCAGGUUUCCAAUUUGCCUGUAACAAAAGUCAGCUUAAUGAGAUGCCCUGAGCUCUAGGAGUAAAUUGCUUUAAGUUGGAAGGCGAUUGACCUUCUAAACCAGAGAGUCAUCAAAGUCCAAUGGCAAGAUAAAAAUCAGGAAGACUCUGAUGGGCUGAGAUGCAGUGGGUGAUCUUGGUGUCUUCAAUAUCUGGUCAAGCUCUAUGUGCUCCAUACUUUGGCUGCCUUCAUAACUGUUGGAACAAAUUGUUCUCAUCUGUCCAUUCCACUGGGGGCAGUCUUCACAUGCUUGGGGUAGACAUUCCACUAAAUCAAUGAAGAGUUUGAGGCAUGAUAAUUACAUUCAACCUGGUU